ACGGAAGGCAGCAGUGGGGAAUAUUGGACAAUGGGGGAAACCCUGAUCCAGCGACGCCGCGUGAGUGAAGAAGUAUUUCGGUAUGUAAAGCUCUAUCAGCAAGGAAGAAAAUGACGGUACUUGACUAAGAAGCCCCGGCUAACUACGUGCCAGCAGCCGCGGUAAUACGUAGGGGACAAGCGUUAUCCGGAUUUACUGGGUGUAAAGGGAGCGCAGGCGGUACGGCAAGUCUGAUGUGAAAGCCCGGGGCUCAACCCCGGUACUGCAUUGGAAACUGUCGAACUAGAGUGUCGGAGGGGUAAGUGGAAUUCCUAGUGUAGCGGUGAAAUGCGUAGAUAUUAGGAGGAACACCAGUGGCGAAGGCGGCUUACUGGACGAUAACUGACGCUGAGGCUCGAAAGCGUGGGGAGCAAACAGGAUUAGAUAUCCUGGUA
rnacentral:rRNA from 1 species